rnacentral:rRNA from 1 species
GAGACAGCAGCAGCCACGGUAAUACAGAGGGUGCGAGCGUUAAUCGGAUUUACUGGGCGUAAAGCGUGCGUAGGCGGCUUCUUAAGUCGGAUGUGAAAUCCCUGAGCUUAACUUAGGAAUUGCAUUCGAUACUGGGAAGCUAGAGUAUGGGAGAGGAUGGUAGAAUUCCAGGUGUAGCGGUGAAAUGCGUAGAGAUCUGGAGGAAUACCGAUGGCGAAGGCAGCCAUCUGGCCUAAUACUGACGCUGAGGUACGAAAGCAUGGGGAGCAAACAGGAUUAGAUACCCCGGUAGUCCCUGUCUCUUAUAA